GAUGAACGCUGACAGAAUGCUUAACACAUGCAAGUCAACUUGAACUUCGGUUUGGGCGGCGGACGGGUGAGUAACGCGUAAAGAACUUGCCUCACAGUUAGGGACAACAUUUGGAAACGAAUGCUAAUACCUGAUAUUAUGAUUUUAGGGCAUCCUAGAAUUAUGAAAGCUAUAUGCGCUGUGAGAGAGCUUUGCGUCCCAUUAGCUAGUUGGAGAGGUAACGGCUCACCAAGGCGAUGAUGGGUAGCCGGCCUGAGAGGGUGAACGGCCACAAGGGGAAUGAGACACGGCCCUUACUCCUACGGGAGGCAGCAGUGGGGAAUAUUGGACAAUGGACCAAGAGUCUGAUCCAGCAAUUCUGUGUGCACGAUGAAGUUUUUCGGAAUGUAAAGUGCUUUCAGUUGGGAAGAAAAAAAUGACGAUACCAACAGAAGAAGUGACGGCUAAAUACGUG
rnacentral:rRNA from 1 species